rnacentral:lncRNA from 1 species
GUCAUUUAAGAAACCCCAGCUGGUAAGGUCAGACUCUGCCCCUAGCUUUUGUCCUUUUUAAAGUUGGCCUCUUCAACUCUAUUUUUACCCCUUUGUUAUAGUCUCCCCAGAACAAAUCAUUUUCUUCAUCAUCACUCACUCACACUCUCUGUCCCUUUCAUAUUUCUCUCCUAUCUCCCUUAAAGAAAGGCGAGACUUUUGGAGGGGUAAAGUACCACAAAUUUUGAGAGAGAUAAGUAUCACAAACACAACAAAUCUAAGGAGAUUAUUAUCAAAGGAAAAAGGAAGCUUUUCUAUUGUGGGGAAUGUUGUUUGGCUCGAGGAUUCUUCAAUCUUGAUCAAAUUCUUUCUAUUUUUUAUAGAUCUGCAUAUUAAUAUAGAUCUAUAAUAUUGAAUCAUGAUUUUGGUGUCGUCGGACCAGGCUUCAUUCCCCUCAAAGAUUGCUACCGUAAUCCUUGCUCACUCAUCAGACAUUCAGACUAGACCCUAAUUUUCGCGAUUUCUAAUAUUGUUGUGUAUUCAGGGGUAAGUCUCAUCUCCUAAGUAUUGUUUUGUUUUAUUUGUUUCCGUUGAAUUUUUGAAGCUUUUGUUUGUCCGUUGUAAAUCAAUCCUUUUUUUGGUGUAAUGAUGAAACAUCUUGACUUUUAAUUUAGGUUUUGCAUUUUUGUUUCAAAUCCCAACCUGAAAAAAGUUUCAUCAUUACAGCCCCUUUUUGGCCAUGCUUUGUGUGUUUCAAUUGUCAGUAAAUAGUCAUGGUCUUAUGAUUGUGGUCAUGAUGAUGGCUUUUUUGGUAGUAUCUCUUUCUGCAAACAUUCAGAUCUGGAUUCUGCCUUUCAAUUUUCUCCGAAUUCCUUUCUCCCUUUUUUAUUUUCUCCACAAAUACUUGUCUCUCUCUUUCUUAGCAGGUGUUUUUCAUAGAUUGGGGUUUAUCUUGUCAAGAACGUACCUUUGCUAAAAAUCGAGCUUUAUUCUUUCUAUAUAUAUGAGUUAAUACAUUCAUAUUAGGCUGAAACUAAUAUUUGUAUCCAUUGCAUUUCUGUCUGAUACAUAAGUACAGUCCAGACACAUAUUUUGCAACUGGGUAGCCUAUAUACAACUUUGAAAAAAUGUAGCACAGUUAUAAAAGAUGAGUAGUGUACAGCUUAAUUUUUAAGAUGCACAGUUUUUGAAGCAUGGUUUUAUAGUAACUCCUACUAUCGUGCAAGUUAAUUUUGUUAUUGUAACCUUUUUUUUACAAAUAAAUUUGAUAAGUAGAUACUUGAGUAAAAGAAGACGAAAGAAAAAAAAAAGAUAUGUUAGUAAAAGAUGAUCGAACGCACGUUGUGAACUUGAGACAUGUCGAUAUUGGAAGCUAGGUGUGAUGGAUUUCGUUCUAGCUAGUGCUUGAAAAUAAUAUUUCAAAGUUUGUAUAUUCUUGUUACUUGUGUGGAUAUGUUCUAUAUUAUAGGGUAUAUAACUUCAAUCACAGAGAUCAAUUUCGUAUAUAUAGCUCAAAAUUAGACCGUGUUUUCCAAAGAUCUUUUUCACAUAUUUAAAAUUAAGAAAACCAGACUUUAAUAUGUUUUUAUCCAGGUAUAAUCUUCAAAUGACUAACAGGCUGAGUUUACCAGAAGAUGGAAACAGAAAGGAGUCUUUUGCUGUAAUGGGAUAUUAUAAAUAGAUGAUGCAUUUUGAAGAUUACUUUUGGUUUGAAGUGUCUUGGCUUUAACAAGUAACUGGAGCUCAUUACUGAUACAUAUCCAGCAUCAAUCUAAACUCAUUUUUGACGUUGAAUCUCAGUUCAUGCAUGAAAGGUUAAUUCCUUCAUAAAUACUACGAUUUUAAAAAAAUGACUGGAAAAACAGCAUAUUAAAGAUAUUGAGGGUUAGAUAGAUACACUUCAAAAGAGAAAAGAAAAUAUAUGUUGACCUCUUGGAGCUAAAUGAGAUGUGAUGUCUUACACGUGAAUGUAGGUUUUGUGAACUUACUUCCUCUUGCUUAUUAGGGAAAAAACAAAAGAUAAAAACAAAGUUGCCUGUUGAGAAUUCAAUGCUUUUGCCCAUUCUAUCUUCACGGAAAACACAGAAAAAGAGGAACACCUAAACUUUUUUACCUUUCCCCCACCAUAUUUGACACCACAUGUCUCCUGCUAGAGAGAACAUAUAGACCCAGGAGCGGAUGUAGCUCGCGACAGGUUUAUUCCAAUCUAAUAUNNNNNNNNNNNNNNNNNNNNNNNNNAUCAAAUUAAUAAAUCAUGGAUCCGUUUUUGCAUGGAUAAUGGAUACCUUUGGUCCUGAAAGUGAAUACACAACAAUAAUAGGUUGAAAAUUUUGUUAGUUGUGAGAAUAUUAAUAAUUUUUCCUACAAAUAAUGUGUUUAAUGUUGAGCAUCAUUGACAAACCUAUAUUAGAAGAAAAGUUAGCAAAAAGCUUUCAAAAUUAUGAGAUCAAAAAUAGUUGUCAGAUAUUAAUAAUUUUUCUCAUGUAUGUGUUUAAUUUAAUGUUUAACGUCAUGAGAAACCCACAGCAAGUAUAUAGUUAUUGAAAAAAGAGGGUAUUGCGUAUGAUCUCUAGACUUUAUCUGUAUUUCAAUUUCAUUUUAUAUACUCCAAUAAGUUAGAUUUUGCGAAAUAGUGAAACGCAGUAAUUUCAAGUUUGUGGUGGUAGAUUCUACUAUUCUGUGGACCUGGAUUUAGUGAAAGAAAGAAAGAAAGAAUUGGGAUCUUUAUAUCUUUACAGUAAAAUGGUCAUUCAUCUUGUCUAUGCAAAACUCAACCUGUGAAGUCAUUUAUAAUCUUCACCUUGGAAAACUAAUAAUGGCAGUGUUAAGAAAUCGUAAGAACAGUGAUUGAUACGGAAUACUGUUUGUGGAGAUGGAAUCUUUUUGUCUUAGCAAAUCAAUAAAGUGGAGGCUGUACGUUGGCGUUUGCUUUUGCUUUUGCUUUCCUCAUUUUCCACAAACAAACAUACAAAAGUUUGCAUGGUUUUGAUAAAUUCUCUGUUAGUCCCACUCAAUUAUUAAUAAAAUAAUGUUACUGCCUCGUUGACUAUUUC